rnacentral:rRNA from 1 species
AAAUGCAGGUGCGUUAAUAGCGCACUUGCUUGACUAAGGCUCCAGAGGAAGCCACGGCUAACUCUGUGCCAGCAGCCGCGGUAAUACAGAGGCGGCAAGCGUUGUUCGGAAUUAUUGGGCGUAAAGAGCACGUAGGCGGCCUUGCAAGUCAGUUGUGAAAGCCUUCCGCUUAACGGAAGAACGGCAUCUGAUACUACAGGGCUUGAGUACGGGAGGGGAGAGUGGAACUUCUGGUGGAGCGGUGAAAUGCGUAGAUAUCAGAAGGAACGCCGGCGGCGAAAGCGACUCUCUGGUCCGAAACUGACGCUGAGUGUGC